GACGAACGCUGGCGGCGUGCUUAACACAUGCAAGUCGAACGGAAAGGCCCUGCUUUUGUGGGGUGCUCGAGUGGCGAACGGGUGAGUAACACGUGAGUAACCUGCCCUUGACUUUGGGAUAACUUCAGGAAACUGGGGCUAAUACCGGAUAGGAGCUCCUGCUGCAUGGGGGGGGUUGGAAAGUUUCGGCGGUUGGGGAUGGACUCGCGGCUUAUCAGCUUGUUGGUGGGGUAGUGGCUUACCAAGGCUUUGACGGGUAGCCGGCCUGGGAGGGUGACCGGCCACAUUGGGACUGAGAUACGGCCCAGACUCCUACGGGAGGCAGCAGUGGGGAAUAUUGCACAAUGGGCGGAAGCCUGAUGCAGCAACGCCGCGUGCGGGAUGACGGCCUUCGGGUUGUAACCCGCUUUCGCCUGUGACGAAGCGUGAGUGACGGUAAUGGGUAAAGAAGCACCGGCUAACUACGUG
rnacentral:rRNA from 1 species